rnacentral:rRNA from 1 species
CCUACGGGGGGCUGCAGUGAGGAAUAUUGGUCAAUGGACGAGAGUCUGAACCAGCCAAGUAGCGUGAAGGAUGACUGCCCUAUGGGUUGUAAACUUCUUUUAUAUGGGAAUAAAAUGUUCCACGUGUGGGAUUUUGUAUGUACCAUAUGAAUAAGGAUCGGCUAACUCCGUGCCAGCAGCCGCGGUAAUACGGAGGAUCCGAGCGUUAUCCGGAUUUAUUGGGUUUAAAGGGAGCGUAGGUGGAUUGUUAAGUCAGUUGUGAAAGUUUGCGGCUCAACCGUAAAAUUGCAGUUGAAACUGGCAGUCUUGAGUACAGUAGAGGUGGGCGGAAUUCGUGGUGUAGCGGUGAAAUGCUUAGAUAUCACGAAGAACUCCGAUUGCGAAGGCAGUUCACUGGACUGCAACUGAUACUGAGGCUCGAAAGUGUAGGUAUCAAACAGGAUUAGAUACCCUUGUAGUC